rfam:Capsella rubella cultivar Monte Gargano unplaced genomic scaffold scaffold_6, whole genome shotgun sequence.
AGGCAGCCUCCUUGUCAAAAGUUAAAACAAUGACAUGUAAGAGGUGUUUAAUUACUCCUACAAUGAACUCUUGUUUCUGCUCUUCAGACUUGCUGAGAUAUUUUUAUGUCUUUGAAGCUGGUCUAGUAGUCUUGAGCACAUU